rnacentral:lncRNA from 10 species
GCCAACGUGUGGCAGGAGUGAUUCCAAGAGGGGAAAAAAAGUUCAGCUACCACGUCGAACGAGAGGACUCGCAAAAGAAGCAGGGGACAGAAGCAAUGGCCGAGGCAGAAGACAAGCCGAGGUGCUGGUGACCCUGGGCGUCUGAGUGGAUGAUUGGGGCUGCUGCGCUCAGAGGCCUGCCUCCCUGCCUUCCAAUGCAUAUAACCCCACACCCCAGCCAAUGAAGACGAGAGGCAGCGUGAACAAAGUCAUUUAGAAAGCCCCCGAGGAAGUGUAAACAAAAGAGAAAGCAUGAAUGGAGUGCCUGAGAGACAAGUGUGUCCUGUACUGCCCCCACCUUUAGCUGGGCCAGCAACUGCCCGGCCCUGCUUCUCCCCACCUACUCACUGGUGAUCUUUUUUUUUUUACUUU